rnacentral:rRNA from 1 species
UUUUACAAUGAAGAGUUUGAUCCUGGCUCAGGAUGAACGCUAGCUACAGGCCUAACACAUGCAAGUCGAGGGGCAGCAUGGGCUUAGCUUGCUAAGCCUGAUGGCGACCGGCGCACGGGUGAGUAACGCGUAUCCGACCUUCCGGCGGCCCGGGUCCAGCCUUUCGAAAGAAAGAUUAAUCCCCGAUGGUGUCAGGCAGUUCCAUGACAGCCUGACUAAAGAAUUAUCGGCCGCCGAUGGGGAUGCGUUCCAUUAGCUUGUUGGCGGGGUAACGGCCCACCAAGGCGACGAUGGAUAGGGGUUCUGAGAGGAAGGCCCCCCACAUUGGGACUGAGACACGGCCCAAACUC